rnacentral:lncRNA from 1 species
CCCCAUCGUAUCCACAUCAUUACGUCAUCAAUGUACCCUUGCACGCCACGCCUCCCUCUAUUAACGAGGAGAGUAACAGCGGCCUCCCCACGCUUUCAAGCCUCCCCACGAUUUCAAUUUACCGUUCACAUCUGGAAAAUCAUGGGUUUUAUAUGGUCAUUUUGCACUCCCAUUUUUAGAUGUGGGACAAUUCCUGGAUCUCAAAACUAUUCAAAAAUUUAAUACGCUG